GCCUAUCACUUCUUGUUUACCGAGAAAAAUCUGCAAGGACUGCUAACCCAUGCUUCCGUACUUAAAACCACGGCUUUCUCA
rnacentral:tRNA from 1 species